GAGUACAAAAAUUAGACCUCCGCCGCCACAUCUCCCUCCGUAUUGCGGAAUUUCCUCCUGCUGGGGUCGCCGCUCUCCGCAAUGGAUGCUGCUCCUGCAUCCAUGGCCGAGGUGGCUGCUGUGGCGCCCAUGCCGGUGCUGGAGAAGCUCGUCGAUGCCCUUGCCACUGCGCCAGCCAAGAAGAAGCUGCCAUCUUCCUCCAAUGACAAGAAGAGGAAGGAGAAGGGCCCGCCAAACACUGCUCGGGCCGCCGAAGCUCCUGUCGCCAAGAGGAAGGGGAAGGGACUGCCGCACCCUGUUCCGACUUCCGAGGUCCCCAUCGCCAAGAAGCCGAACACCGGCGAUGCGCCAACAUCCACAGCUGAGUUCCCCAGAUCUAGCGUAGCCAUCGCCGCCGGUACUCACAAAGCAAUGCAAACCCUUGCCUCCGCGUGGUUGCCGGCCCCGAGGUCCAUGCUGCCCCUGCUCCAGGACGAGGACGCCAACGGCCAAACGCCACAACAGCAUGUCAAAUGUGCCGAAGGCGACCUCCCUUUAAUAGCCUCUUCCGAAAUAAAGCACAAAAGGCCAAUGGUAAAUCAUCAUAAGUCUUCGGCAACCAAGUGCCUCAAGCCUCCGAUGGCAAGGAAGGUGAACUCUCCUAUGGUGACGAGGUCCCCAAUGAUGAGACUACCCGUGUCUCCAUUGGUUGUGCGGCCAAGGUCACCAUCGCUUGGCCUGCAGAGGUCAUCGUCACGCAGCCCGCGGAGGUCACCGUCACGCAGCCCAUGGACAUCACCGGCACGCAGCCCACGGAGUGGAGUUCCUCAUUCAUGAUCUCGUUGACUUGGCUGAGCACGAAAAGUCUGCGAAAAAGCCUGCAACAAUUACCGUCAAUAUCAGAAAGCCAACAUGGGAGGAUUACCAAAAUGUGCCUAAUACAUAUGUGUCGGGCAGGCCUCUACUCACUUGGGAUAAACUCAAAAGGUCACAACUGGUAUAAAAAGGUUACAUGACUGGUACUUGAGAGCUUCUACUGUUAGCAUCGACACGAUCAACGUGUCUAUACCACCAACAACUUUUGUUAGUGGUCGUCAAACAGCCGUUGUUACCUUCGAGGACAUGUGGUUGAUGAUGAACCUUCAGAGACUCGACAUCGGUGUUUGCAUUAAUGCAAUAUGAUCAGCAGGAGAUCUGUUAUGGUCUAGAUCCGUAGUCCAAUACCAGUAAAAGGGUUAGGUAUCUGAACCUAAUAAAAAUAUGUGAGGAUGAGCACACAUUCAAAGUUGGUUUGGAUAAUGAUGAAUUAAAGGGUGUGACACCUCAAGAAGCUCAGCAACAUAUAGAGGAAAUGAGGAAGAACUUUGAAGCCAAAUACGUCAUCUAUCUAGGACACGCAAUGCUUCAGUAUCAACACAGGGAAUCCGCAGUGGCCCCAUACAACUUUGGGUAAGUUUGAGUUUGCAUACAUCAAAUGAAUAAUUUUGAUACACAUGCAUCACAAAAUUUGAUUCAUGGACCACUAGAUCUGCUUCAUCAUUUAUCCUAGGGAUGGAAAGGUGUUGGUCCUAGACUCCGCAUAUUACAAUCCUUCAACUUAUGCAGCAUUCAUGACUAUCUUAGAGCGGUAAGCCGAGAUAUUCAUUCAUACUUUUAUCGAUGAGAUCGAGUAUGAGAACAACAUGGUCAUUCUUUACGAGAUCAUAGGACAUAUAGGUUUUAUAAGAUUAAAGGCGAAAGUUGCGAGUCAUCGAAACUAGGGAAGCCAUUGCAAAUGUUUUAUAAAUGGUCGGUACGUAUGUAAAAUUAUGAAUACAUAUCAUAUCAUACAUGUUGGAACUAAUAACCAUAAUAACCACUUGCCAAUUAUAUAUAGUGCCACAAGCAACCAGCCGGAUCGAUCAUAUGUGGAAUUUACGUGUGCGAGUUCACGAGAGAACAGAACAUAUAUUAGUAACCCAUCUAAGGUAAUAUAUAGUAAUUAUUAUUUAUGCAGUUCUGUCAUUGAAUUUACAAAUAUAUUACUUAUUGUAAUAAAUAUAUGGUGUUUAUAAUCUUCCUUUCUAGAAAUAUGAUGUAAAAAAGGUGAAGCAGAUGACCCAAGGUGCUUUAUACAACAUAGUUGAGGACCUAUAUAUAUUCAUCUUGAAAGAAGUCAUUCUAUAUGAAGGAAAAUAUCAUGAUGCCACCGGCAUCUUAGCAUGGCUAGACUACAGAGUGCUAACGGAGAUUAGUAGGCUAAACCUUAGUCAAGAUGAUUAUUAGAGCAGAUGUGCAAACUUUGAUGUAUGUAAUAUGUGAUAUAUAUACAUUUAACAUUAUCUUUGCGAGCACAAACUUUGAUGUAUAUAAAUGUAUGAUAUAAUUAAAUUGUAUGUUCUUAUA